rnacentral:rRNA from 1 species
AACGAACGCUGGCGGCAUGCCUAACACAUGCAAGUCGAACGAAGGCUUCGACCUUAGUGGCGCACGGGUGCGUAACGCGUGGGAAUCUGCCCUUUGCUUCGGAAUAACAGUUAGAAAUGACUGCUAAUACCGGAUGAUGUCGCAAGACCAAAGAUUUAUCGGCAAAGGAUGAGCCCGCGUAGGAUUAGCUAGUUGGUGGGGUAAAGGCCUACCAAGGCGACGAUCCUUAGCUGGUCUGAGAGGAUGAUCAGCCACACUGGGACUGAGACACGGCCCAGACUCCUACGGGAGGCAGCAGUGGGGAAUAUUGGACAAUGGGCGAAAGCCUGAUCCAGCAAUGCCGCGUGAGUGAUGAAGGCCUUAGGGUUGUAUAGCUCUUUUACCCGGGAUGAUAAUGACAGUACCGGGAGAAUAAGCUCCGGCUAACUCCGUG